rnacentral:rRNA from 1 species
GACGAACGCUGGCGGCGUGCUUAACACAUGCAAGUCGAACGGAAAGGCCCUGCUUUUGUGGGGUGCUCGAGUGGCGAACGGGUGAGUAACACGUGAGUAACCUGCCCUUAACUCUGGGAUAAGCCUGGGAAACUGGGUCUAAUACCGGAUAGGAGCGUCCACCGCAUGGUGGGUGUUGGAAAGAUUUAUCGGUUUUGGAUGGACUCGCGGCCUAUCAGCUUGUUGGUGAGGUAAUGGCUCACCAAGGCGACGACGGGUAGCCGGCCUGAGAGGGUGACCGGCCACACUGGGACUGAGACACGGCCCAGACUCCUACGGGAGGCAGCAGUGGGGAAUAUUGCACAAUGGGCGCAAGCCUGAUGCAGCGACGCCGCGUGAGGGAUGACGGCCUUCGGGUUGUAAACCUCUUUCAGUAGGGAAGAAGCGAAAGUGACGGUACCUGCAGAAGAAGCACCGGCUAACUACGUG